CAGGCAAACACAUGCAGUCCAUGACAGGCGGCUAGACAUGAAUGCUGAAGAAAGAAGCUGGAGGAAGGCAGGUUUUGAUUCUACAUGAGGCAGGUUUUGAUUCUACAUGAGGAAGCAGUGUGGGCUCGGCGCAACACAAGAGUGGCUGUCCCAGAGGGGCAGCAUGUGGCUGUGUCUCCUGAAUACCCCCUUAUCCCAGACCUGCUGAGAUUGUUCCCUCCCGCCCUGCAUGGACCGAGCAGAGGCAAGAAAUGUGCUUCCAGCACUACAGCAAGGAGUCGAUGGCAGAAAAUCCUUUCCCACGAGAGCCGUGUACAUCUCCCAUGGUCUUCGUCCUGUGUAAUGCUGACACUUUCCACCUAGAAGUGGGGCCUGGAUUCUGAGAGAGCCCAGAUGUGAAGCUGCAUGCUUUCCAGUAACAGGGAAUAGAAGAGAAAAUGGCACUCACCCAGGCUCUCUCCUGGGACAUGUGCUGUGGGAGCCCUGAGCCAGCGUGUCUGCAGACCAGCCCCCCCCGCCCCUUAACUCAUUAUGCCUGGGAGUCUGCAAAAAAGAGACCCCCACAGAGACAAUGAGGUGCCCAGGGAGCCCCAGCUGUUCCGGCUCCUCUCUGGUCAAGUCCCUGAAGCUCAGAACCAGCAUUGAGAGUGAGCAGCCUUUCAGAGGAUCCCAACCCAAGUUGGCAUCCACCUGCAACUGCCUGGGAGAUGCCAAUUAGAAUGCCCUGCCUUUCCAGAGUCCCUGACCCAUGGAAACCAUGGAGAUAAUCCAUGAGUAUUGAGGAUUUAAGCCAUUAAGUUGGGGAUGAUUCAUUCCACAGCAUUAGGUGACCAAUCAGACCAAUCAACUGACACAUCACGGAGCCACUUCUGAUUCAGUCUGUGUUGCAUCAUCACCAUUCAUUACAACUAACACAAAGGGACCGGAGGUUUCUCCCCGGGCAGGCAGGGUUCAGGGAGGAAGCCGGGGUCUCAGAUAAUACAGCUACCCUCUCACCUCUGAUGCGCUUUGAAUGAUGACUUAUGUAUGCGUAGUGUCCCUUUCAUUUCAUUUUGCCCUGUGUAAACACAUUCCUCUAACCUCAUUAUUAACAAUGACCAAGUAGAAAUUAAUCAGGGGAACGAGAGCCAGCUUUUUCACUGAUGACCGUGAAUGUGGACCUGGGACAAGGCCCUCGUAAGGCACAGAGCUGCAUGGCUGUUGCGUAUUCCCUCUGAUAUUUUUCGCACCGGUUUUCACACCAGCAGACACAGGCUCUUUUAAGACAGUGCAGAAAACAUCUCUAAAGGAGGUGACCACAUACACUUUUUGGCUACUUGAAAAUGACUGGAACUUAGGAAAAUGUUCCACCUUGUGACAUUCGCUCCUUUUUGGAUUGACUUGCCAGAUUCACUGAGUAGUUUGGCACAAAGUAGAAAUUAAUACAUUGUCUCACUAAUUCUCCAUUUUCCCUAAAAGUAGAGCCAUUAACUAAGAAGAGAGGAUAUUGUACUAAUGUGGCCUAAGCAGAAAAAUCUAAAACAAAUAUCCCAACCCGAGAAAGGACAUACGUGUUGGUUUGUGCAUUUGUUGAGGCAGGUGGUGUGUGUAUGUGUGUGUGUGUGUUUCCCACCACCCAUGAGGCAAGCAUUGGACCAGCCACUAGAGACGCUGCAAUGGGGAAAAAAAAAAAAAAAUGGCACAUGUGGUUCUUAUCCUCAUGAGAUUUACUCUCUAAUUGGAUAAACACAAAUCAUAUUUGUUGUGUUGAGGCUUUGGAACACCCAGGAGUUUCUUAUAUAACUUCUUAAAGAAUACACUAGAACAACCCCACUUAGAAAACCAAUUUGGCAUUAUCUACUAAAACUGAACACCCGUGGGUUCGUACCCCACUGAAAUGUAUACACAUAUUCAGCAAAAGGCAUACAUGAGAAUAUUCAUGGCAGCACUAUUUGGCAUAGCUCCAGAAUUCAAGUAAGAUGCCCAUCAACAGGAGAAUGUAUUAAAAAGUUGUGAUAUGUACGUAUAAUUGAAUGCUGUACAGAAAUGGAAAAAAAGACCUGCAAACUAUACAGAGCAAUACAAUGAAUUUAAGCAACAUCACACUGAGUAAAAACACCUAUGACCUCCUUCCAUUUAUAUGAAGUACAAAAGUGAGGAGGCAGACUGUGCCACUAGAGGUAAGGAUAGUGGUUAUCUUCGGUGAGGAAGUGGCUAGAAGUGGACUUGUGGUUGGGGGUGGGGGGGAGGGAGCUUCUCGCUGGUGGUAGUGGUGGUUCUGCUUUUUGAUCUAGGGGUUGUAGCAUGGACGUGCUCGUUUUCUGUGCAUCGUUCUGUCUGUGUGGUACACGGUACUGUAGAAAGAUAAAAUGAUCGACGACUCCCUUUUGUCUGCAGGUUUAAUCCUAAAGCCUUGUGAAGGAAGAUUAAACUAUGAUCAAGUUCUAGUUUACCCCUGCAGACUUUCUUCCUUCCCCUUCCUGCCAGUAUUGACCCAACUGAAGUAGCCCCCAUUUCUCAAACACAGUGUACCGUCUUCUGUCUUCUGCAUUUGAUGAAUGGGGUUUUCUUGCCUAAAAUACCCCCGGUUCUCUUCCCCACCUGCAGGGUCUCUUCUCAUCAGGUGCCUCAGCUCAGCUCUAGUAUUAAAUUGAGCAGGAAAUCAACCCACGUGGCUUUCUCCACCCCCGUAUUUCACCUCAUGUGCAGUUCUCUUCCUUUGCUGUAUUUCGUAUUAUACUAUCUUUAAAGUGAUCCAUGUACAUGUCUAAUCAUCCACUGCUGAAACCUUGCAGACCCUAAACUGUGAGUAAGUUCAGUGCAGAGCUCUUGUCUGAGGCUUCAUUCACUCCCACAAGGCUGGUAUAGUUCCUGGCACAACGUAUGGGCUCAUAAACGCUUGAAUAAUAAGUUUAUGAGUGGAUCCUGGAGUGGAACUGACUUGGAAUCCAUGUACAACUCAAUUUUCAAAUAAAGAAAGGCAUCUGGUGAACUUCCAUUGGAAGAGAGAGCAAAACUAUCAGUGGUUCUAUAACCAACCCAACAAGGAGCUGGGAUUUCUGGAGUGUUCCAGAAAACUGAUGUCACCAGACUGAUGUAGGUUGGCGUGUUGGAUAAAGACAUCUUUGAGCACACAAAAAAAAUGCCUUUUAAGCAAAUGAAUGAUAAAGGCAGUUUCCACACAGUUAUCUCCCUCCUAGUCAUUCAAUUCUUUUAAUUCACACAUGCAUUUAUGUCUUUAUUCAUUCAUUCAUAGCUGCUUAUUGAGCAGUGACUACAUGCCAGGUUCUGUACUAGGUGCUCAAGUCCACAAGUGACUCAGUCACUGCCUAUAAAGGGAAGAAAACCCUGCAAACCUAUGACUAGGUUGACCCAACUUGAUUAUUGAGAAUCAGGAACCAUCUGCACCAUUUUUUCUGCUCUGGGUGUCUUUGGUAUCCCCGCUUUGUUUAUAGGAAACAUAUCUAAAGGAUCCCUGAGUCAUGGCCAUGUUUCUGCCUUUAUGCAUUCCCUUGGCAAUAAAUCAUAUUUUUGUAAGCUAAUAAUGACAGCAACCCCC
rnacentral:lncRNA from 1 species